UACGUAGGCAGCAAGCGUUUGUUCGGAGUUACUGGGCGUAAAGAGUGUGUAGGUGGUCCUCUAAGUUUGGUGUGAAAUCUCCCGGCUCAACUGGGAGGGUGCGCCGAAAACUGGGGGGCUUGAGUGUGGGAGAGGAAAGCGGAAUUCCUGGUGUAGCGGUGAAAUGCGUAGAUAUCAGGAGGAACUCCUGCGGUGUAGACGGCUUUCUGGACCACUACUGACACUGAGACACGAAAGCGUGGGUAGCAACAGG
rnacentral:rRNA from 1 species